rnacentral:rRNA from 1 species
CCUACGGGAGGCAGCAGUGGGGGAUAUUGCACAAUGGGGGAAACCCUGAUGCAGCGACGCCGCGUGGGUGAAGAAGUAUUUCGGUAUGUAAAGCCCUAUCAGCAGGGAAGAAAGAAGACGGUACCUGACUAAGAAGCCCCGGCUAACUACGUGCCAGCAGCCGCGGUAAUACGUAGGGGGCGAGCGUUAUCCGGAUUCACUGGGUGUAAAGGGAGCGUAGACGGCCGUGCAAGCCAGGAGUGAAAGCCCGGGGCCCAACCCCGGGACUGCUCUUGGAACUGUGCGGCUGGAGUGCGUGAGGGGCAGGCGGAAUUCCUGGUGUAGCGGUGAAAUGCGUAGAUAUCAGGAGGAACACCGGCGGCGAAGGCGGCCUGCUGGACCGCGACUGACGUUGAGGCUCGAAAGCGUGGGGAGCGAACAGGAUUAGAUACCCUUGUAGUC